rfam:Pantoea sp. AS1 85__len__269, whole genome shotgun sequence.
GACGUUGAAGACGACGACGUUGAUAGGCCGGGUGUGUAAGCGCAGCGAUGCGUUGAGCUAACCGGUACUAAUGACCCGUGAGGCUUAACCUU